rnacentral:rRNA from 1 species
UACGUAGGUGGCGAGCGUUGUCCGGAUUUACUGGGCGUAAAGGGCGCGUAGGCGGGAUGGCAAGUCGGUCGUGAAAUCCUUCGGCUCAACCGAAGAACGUCGAUCGAUACUGCUGUUCUUGAGGGUUGCAGAGGAGACUGGAAUUCCCGGUGUAGCGGUGAAAUGUGUAGAGAUCGGGAGGAACACCGGUGGCGAAGGCGGGUCUCUGGGCAAUUCCUGACGCUGAGGCGCGAAAGCGUGGGGAGCAAACGGG